UCUGACCUCUGUGAGUGAGGCUGUGCUGAUGCCUGACUGCGUAUACUUCACCUGUACAGUACUAGUCCACACAAUUCCUAUGUGGAGUGUUGUUGGCUUGAUUUUGAAGUAUUGUUUGGGGUUCUCUGUAAAUCAAAGUUUUAUAGAAAGGUGGCUAUUCCACAUUCGUUUUUGUUUAAUACCAGCCACCCUGAAUAACAUGAUUUUGAGAAUCAGCAUACUCCUAAAGUAGCCCGUCAUAUGGCAGACACCUCAAGGCUAAGAGAAAUAUGAAAGUUCUCAUUUGUAUAGGGUCAUCUUUUUGAAAACGAAAGAUUUAUUAACACCUGAAAAAGAUAAUACAUAGUAUAUAAGUAGAUCUAAGCACAUUAAUUAGCAAUUUGAUUGGUUGCAGCCUCUCCUAGGUAAACUUGAAUCAUGGAGGUACUGAAAUAUAUCCUGCACAGAAAUUCACCAGGGCAGGAGAUUGAGUAAAGUGCUCCUCCACAGAGCAUAGCCUGGCAUCCUGAAAUAGAAGUGUAAGAAUUUUUUUAAGUAAAAGAUUAUUGCAUAUUUAUGGAUUCUUUACACAAUUUUUUUUAUUCUAUAGUAGAUCCUUUAGCUCCUGUAUUUAAUAUACAGCAGAAUAUACUUUUUAGUUUCCUUGGAAAGGAACAGUUUUCACUGUCUGGUAAUAAAACGCGAGAUGCAAUAAAUUUAAUCCAAAAUAAGUUACAGUCAAAUAGGGCACUUACUAGUUCAAAAGAAAAUAUUAAAUGAUUCUGUUAGUUCACAAUGUGGUCAAUACCUGUACAUAUGAACUUCAGUAGGAAAUUUAGUCCCAGGAAGGAAGAAAGGUUUAAAGUGUUCCAGCCAGUCUGUCUCAAGAAUUCCAAUCAUCUUGAUUUUUUUUCCCCCGGUACUCAGAGUUUACACUAGGUGGCAUGCAAGGAAAGCUAACAAAUUCAGAAACUCGAUUCUGUGGGAGCAGGAUUCUUUGGUACUAAUCACGAUAGUGGGUCCAGCUUUGGAGUUAACCAUUUGAUUUGUGAUGGUUUUUCUUUUCUCCUCCCCACCCCAGGAUGAAGUGUCCUCUUGCUAGCACCAAUAAAAGAUUUCUAAUUAACACAAUUAAAAACACAUUGCCCUCUCAUAAAGAGCAAGACCAUGAACAAAAAGAGGGCGAUAAGGAACCAGCGAAGAGCCAGGCCCAAAAAGAAGAAAACCCGAAGAAACACAGAAGCCAUCCUUACAAGCACAGCUUCCGCGCUCGAGGUUCCGCCAGUUACUCCCCGCCACGAAAGCGGAGCAGCCAGGACAAGUACGAAAAGCGGUCCAACCGGCGGUGAGGAUGGAACCAGGGCCAGCCAGCCCUGCGGGCCUCCGUGCUCCUUCGGGGUGCGGUGUGCGGAGAAGGCAUGAGCUGGCAGGGCAAACACCUGAGAGUGACUUUGACAGUAGGUCCUUUGUUGUUUUUAAAGAGGCUGCUGGCCACGGGCAAAAAAUGACCUAGCAACUCUUGAGGAAACAAGUACAAAGGAGGAUGUCUUGGCAAGUUUAAGCUACUUCUGCAGUGUAGUAGACAUAUGUAUUGUUGUUUAUCUUGUUUGGAAGUGUGUUUCAAAAUAAACAUGUCUAGAAUUUAAAGUUUUCA
rnacentral:sRNA from 1 species